UAAAGUCAAAUUAAUUGGUUAAAGCUAAUAAAUAACUACUAUUAAGUACAACAACUCUACUUAUUAUUGUAAGAGUAAAAUCUUUAUAAAUAAGAUAGGAAUGUGUUAAUGUAACAUUAAUUCUCUUACGAGGCGCUAGCAUAAAGACUAGGAUUAGAUACCCUAUUAUGGGCGUGAGUAUGAAAGUUUAUUAAGUUAAUAGCCUUAAUAUAAAGCAAAACCUAUUUACUAUGGCGGCUGUUAGUCUCACCAGAGUCGUAUGUCCUUAAACGAAACUGCGCGAUCAUCUUACCUUUUAACUUUUGCUAAUAUAAAAUAAUUACAUUAUAGCAAUCUGGCACGUCGCUGUACUAAAAGUGAAGAUUUUAAAUAACUCAUCUUCUAAUUACUUAUUAACAUUUAUUAAUAACGUACAAGUCAAGACGCCGUUUUAAGAGGCUUAAGAUGUACGAUUUAAUUGAUUUGAUAGAAUUGAUAAGAAUGAAAACUUUCUUUAUUAAAAUAAUUUGGAAGUAAAAUAAGGUUAUUAUUCUUAUUUGAAAUGAGCUACUAAUAAGU
rnacentral:rRNA from 1 species